UCUAAGGUGAAAGCCUUAAUAUGUAUUUAAACAUGAAUCUUUUUUCCUUUUUCAAUUUUGAUCAAGAAGACAAAUUGUAUAAUUAAUAAUGCAACAGAGAGGAUCGUAAAAAAGUUUCUUAUAUCUUUUCUUUUACACUUGUUUUUAAUACCUGUUUCCCGCCGGUGUUAAAGCACCAUAAAUUUACGUCAAGUUUUGAAGAGAGCCGUUCAGUAUCGCGCAAUCCUAUUUAAGUACGUCAGCGUCAACUUUCACCGUUGAACGACGUCGUGUAAAUUCAGCGAUGUGUAAAAUGCAAGUUUGCAAGAAAUGAGCACUGGAUGAUGUAUCGUUUCAAUGACUCAUCAAUCACGAUGCGCGCGCGUUACGUCAUUACGCUACGUACGAUUGCGGCGUUUUUUUCUUUUUCAAGGAGCUGAUCCUGGUCGGUAUUCCAUUGAGCCGGUCGCGGAUUCUCGUUAACCUCCUUACACGUCAUCUGACAUUUCACAACGAUCGCAUACGUAACUAUGCCGUUCUUCCGAGGGACGAAUUCCGACAUGUCCUUACAAUUCGUUUCGCGCAGAGAAAAAUAGACGAAACACGACAAACCGAGACCCGCUAAUUGAUAGCUCUCGUAAAAGUUUGCGACCUGAUUACUUCGAACUCUUCGAAGAGCCCGAGUCAAUUUAUUCUCCAAUUCGAUUAAAAAAAAAAAAAACAAAGUUUUAUUCAUCUCGGCUCUCUUGGAUUGCGAUGCAUGCGACUCGAUGAAAUUGCCACCGGGCCAAUCAUCGGCAUUUUUGCAGACAAUGUCGGGCAAUGUUCGAUGUGACAAUCGUAGCGAGAGAAGCGCGAGGCAACUUUGGCCAAUCGAUUUUCCGUUCGCCUAUUCGCGUCACCGCAUGAUGCAUGCGCCUCGACCCACAACAGCUGAUCCGCGUGAAUUUGUUGACUCAUCAUCUUAGGUGACAGACCUGUUCGAAGGGACGUGACGAAGCCGUCAUACGCUAUGUCAUCGACGUUCGUAGAAUUUCUAGAGCGUGUACGUGUGCGACAUGCGAAGUAUAAAUCCUGGAAACUCGUGCGACAAUUACCGUUUAUAUCGGAUCGUAGUCUUUAUAUGUGUCUUUGAUCUUUUCCCGGAAGAAAUAUGAUGAACAAUUGUGCAAGCUGUUCGCAAUACACGAAAUUGCCUGUGAAAUUGUUAAUUGACUGGGGUCAACAAGAAGCUGUAUCAAAGACUGAACUGUAGGACUUUUCUGUUUUCGUUGUAUCUUAUGGCAGCGGACAGUUUUCGUAAGGGAACCGGACCUCGGAAUAUUUUAUAACAUUGCAGCCCGGCAAGUGAAGAAUGCGAAAGUACGCAUUCCUCGGCAACCUUUUUCCAGAUAAUUUGCCAAAUAAGUCUUCGACCUUUCAAUAUUUCAAGCAUGAUUGCUUCUACAUUAUUCUAGGGGGAAAAGAAUUUCUGUAUGUGCUCAAUUUUGCUGAAGUCUUAUGUAUUAUAUAUCAAGCGUAACUCAAUUUAGUCGCAUAAAAAAUACAUACGCGAUUUUUCUCUGAA